AGAAAAUUAAUAGGACAACACCAAGAUUAUUUUAUUUUAGAUUUAUUCUAGAAGUAUUUUUUUCCAUUUAAAAAUAAAAUAUUCCCAAUAAUAAUUAUGAUACUUUAUUAUAGAAUAUACUUAAUAAUAGGAGGGUAAUACUAUUAAAUCUACACAAUUCAAAUAGAAAAACAAUUAAGUUUGCUUGAACGGAAUAAAUGUUAUUUUUUGUUUAUCUAAAAGAGUUAUGGGAACCAUAAUACUAUGGAAGUGACCUAUAGUUGCCUCAAUCUUAGCAAAUGUAGCUACAACAUAAAUGUUACAAUCGUAAUUUAACUGUAAUAUAAUCGUACGACGAUGAUAGCAUACUAUCUCUCAGAAAUAGAAUCUGUAUACACUUCUACGGUUCACUUAGCAGCAAAUUGAUGGCAGAAACAGAGCAGUUUUAUACUUAGCAAUUUGAUGCUAAUUGAUAGCGGAAAUCGAACAAAAUCUGUCACCAAUCUGUCAUUAAAUUAGUUUAGGCAGACUUUGUCGGAAGAACACAAGUUUAAUGCGGACACAGUUGCUGCUAAUCUACUGGCAUAUAGACAUUUCGCUGAUGUGGAUAUAAAUAAUGUACACAAGAAGAAUCACAAUACAUACAUUUUGCUUUAUGUGUAAAAAUUUUUUGCGAGUUGUUCCUAUCUAUUCCAUUAGUGUAACAGAAUCGAAUUUUCAGUGCUGUGUCAUGCAAUUAUGUGUUAUAGAUAUCAAGAUAUUUCAAUCAUACUAUUUGUUUUGCACUUUAUAGAAACAACAAUAUUCUUUUGAUGGAGACAACCAUGUACGAGGAUAUUCUAAUUAAAUAUUACUUAUCAUAAGAAAUUAAUAACUACGGAUGUAAAAACCAUUGAUAGAUGGCCAAAUUUUAACGGUAUUCAAUAUAACAUCAAUAUAAUUUAAAUUCGCAUAAUUUCUUUUCCAAAAAUAAAGAAUAUUGUUAUAACAAUCCGGUACAAAAUUUUUCCUAUUUAAUUAUAUAUAGUUAUACAUAAUUAUAUAUAAUUAUACGUAAUUAUAUAUUAUUGUAUACAGUUUUAUAUAAAAAUUAUGCAUAAUUACAUAUAAUUAUCUAUAAUUGUAUAAAUUUUAAUAUAUAUGGGCUUAUUUGAUAUAUAAUUAUAUAUCUGUAUACAUAUAAUUAUAUAUGAGAAAUUUUUUACCGAGAACUAUAACAAUCUUUUCUGUCUUCAUUUAUGACCCUUUAAGGAUUCAUGUUUAUCGCAGUAUUUAAUUGACGCACAAGAAAAAAAAUCAUUUUUUUUCACGAGACAAAAGAAACUUUUGUGUCUGGUAAUAACAGUGUGUUUACAAUCGUUCAACUGUUCGAUGAUGGUUCAUCCCGUCACACUUUGAGCUGCAGCCAAGGUGCAUCUUUCUGAAUGCACUGCCAGAUUGCAACGCAUUAGUUUGCGCGUCAACGCAUUUCUCGAUAGCGAGAGACGCUGGACUUGAUUCGAUUAAACCGCUACAAGUCGAUGGACUUUAUCCCUUUUUAUCGUUUAUCGAGAAGUCGGGACGGAAAUACGUUCGUAUGUGAUCGCUUCGUUGCUUGCAGUUAAUUUAAAGUUCGUUCUCGGAUCGUUCCCUAACUUCUGGAGGCAUUUCCUGUAGAAAUCUCCGGAGAUCCCGGAACAGAUCUUCGAGAAACACCGAGCACUUCUCGCUAUUAAUAGUAAUGGAAAGCGUCUAUUUUUUUUUCUAGCCUCAGGAAAAGUCGCUGGUGGACGAGCAAUAAAUAAAUUAGGAUACGCCAAAAAUGACCUAGUGUGUGUUAAUAAACGAAAGUAUAAAAAAUAUACAGUGUGAGAUACAUGACAGGGAAUAACAUGGAAGAACGUACAGACGAACUGGAAGAGGAGAACAUGUAGAGAGAGAAGAGUCUUAAGAUCGACAGGACGAUGCUUUCGUGAGAUUGUUAACGUAAAAUUAGAGAAGAGCUUUCAGCGAAAUGGGGCCUCAAAGUGCCUUCGGCUUUGCAGUCGCUGGCGGAAAUACGUAGGAAUCCAUUUACACAAAGAGGCUAAUCUCAAAAGAGGAAGGUAUAAUAGUUUGAAUGAUUUUAAUCCGUUUCGCGUUGUUUCGCGGAGGCAAAGCGAUUCCGGGAACAUCUCGAGAUCUCUGUCUCUAUAGAAUAUCGUGCAAGGCAUACGGAUUUCCUAUCGUGACGCAACUCUCCGCGUUAUUUUGCACCGUUUGCAGCGGCCGUAAUGCGUCGGAUUAAUUCUGACGUGCGUCAAGCGAAUUUUGUUAGUACAAGUUAGCGCAAUGAUAGGCGCGCGUAUGCGAUGCGGACGACGGAGAGCGUGAGCUCUCAUAAUUGCGCCCAUCCACGUCAAUGCGAGUGCACGUACGGAUAAACAGCUGAGUUAUUAUGUCGAGUCCCGCGAUUGGUACAAUUGAAGUUCCGGCGGGAUCGCAGGUGUCCUCCACGUGCCGUUAUUUGCGUUUCUUCCUCCUCCCCAACUUGAUCUCCUUUGUCGCGUAUCGAAAUGUAUACGCGAUGCGAUAUAUCUGUCAUUAAAGUUCAACUGGAGUUUGACGUAGCGGAUAUUUGUUACACAGAGCGGACCACAUGACUCGAUUAAGCUUUCGGUUUUAGUUCCAGACUCCCUCGAUAUUAAUAGAGUGAAUAAAUAUAAAUUGGAUCACUAGUCUCCUUUAAAACAUAUGAAUCGAUAUUUUGAAAAAUAACAUAAAUUAAUUUUUGUUUGAAAUUCAGAAUCAGGAAGAGCAGAUAUAAGUUUCCUUAUACCUAUGUCAGCUGCGAGCAUUCCUUUCUUAAAUAGGGAAGGUGGGGCAAGAGAGGGUGGCUGGGUAAUAGGCUAUAAGAUAAGAAUGUUUUCUACUUUUGUAAACAGUAUUUGGAAUAUUAUUGAUAUCAUUUCGAUUAGACGAAAAGGGGCAAAAAGGGAGGAGAGUAGAAGAAAGUAGAGUAACUGUGCACAGCGAGAUUGCGCAUCAUAUUUAGCUAGAUUGACCACAGCCACCCACAGAGCAAUUUUUCUCUUUGGACAGCCAAUUUUAGCGACGUGGAUAAUCGAGUGGCACUCGAGCAGACUUAUGUCUAUUAACCUCACCUGUGAAAACUGUUACUGCGUAUUUCAAUGGACGAACGAAUUGAAAAGAAAACUUGUUGUGUGCUAAUGAAGAUGUUUUCCAGCAAGAGACACGAAAAGGCACGAUGUAACAAUAUCAAACAAGGAUGAAUUAUUUCAUCCUUAUUUGAUAUUGACACAUAACAAAGAUAAAAUGAUUCACUGUAUUAACUGUGUUGCUUGCUGGAAAAUGCCCUGAGAUACAUCGUAAUCUGUAGAACAACGAAACCAGGUAAGGUGUACAAAUAAGCAAAGAAAAAACAUUAUUCCUUCGACUAUAUACGUAGAUCUGAGACAUUCGACACAAUAUGUAACAUCUUCUUAAGUUAUGUUACGAAAACCAUUAAUUAUUACAAAAUAUAAAGCAAUAUUCUAAAAAUUGUUAUAUCACAUCUGAUAGAAGACACUUUAUACUUUUUAUAUAUAUUCUUAGAGUACACAUCUCAUCUUGCUCACGGGGGGAUAUUUGUCUUAUCCAACGCGUGGGGCAAAAUGGAGAGAAAUGCCUCUUCUUAUUUUUCUUAAAUAAAAUUUAUAAUCUCUAAAAAUUUUUUUUAAUGAUAAUUAUAUUGAAUAAUGGAUAUUCAAAGAAUAUGUAAGAAGUGAAGAUGAUUCAUUGAUUAUAGAAACUUAGCUUUUAUUCAUCAACCAACCUCUUAACUAUCUGUCUUGCCUCACCAUUCCCUAUAAAUGCCAUCAGUUUUUGUCAAAUCGACUUGAAAUUUGCAGAGAACAUUUUUGAAAUGAUUCACUUGAAGAAAAAGUGUCGAAAUCCAAAAACGCGUUUUUUUUUUAAUUUACAGAAAGGCAGAAUCUCUUAAAUAAAGGAAGUUUAUCAAUCAGAAGGUUUCAGGAUGCCAUCUAUAUAAUUUCUUUUUUACAGAAAAGUUGUCCUUUUAUCAUUGUCAAAAAAUUAAAAAAUAUACAGAUUUGGAAAACAAAUGUGCAAAUCUUGAAAACAAAAAAUGUCCAAAUUAGCAUUCAUGUUUAUGAUCACUGAUAUACUUAGUGUUAGAAGUAUCGAUGUCUAGCAAAAAUACGGAUGAAAAAUUCAAUAUAAAUUUUACGUGACGAUUAAUGCGAACAAAUAAAAUGUAAUACUUACAGGGAGAUAAAAUACCAUACUUGAGGAAGGAUUAGAAAUCCCAAGUGUACUGUAUUGGACGCAAAUAGUAGCAAUUAGAGCAAAGUAUCUCUAAAAGCAAUUGGGCACCCCUGCAAUCUAUUUUCGCAUUGCUUUCGUUCGAUAACGAUCGCGCCAUGACCUUUUCGACCGCAAAUUGCCGUCGUCUGACCUCUACCGCGACCUAGAUCCGAUCAAGGCGCCAAUCGACGCCGAAAACGUUCACGAUUCCAAGCACCAAAUUCUGUAUUCUCUCAUCCGCCCACUUAACAGGUUUCGAUACUAACUUAUAAUUAUUAUCCCAGACUAUGUCUAAAGUAGGGACAUAAAAUAUCUUAAAGACAUCAUUUAGACAUCUUUUAGAUAACAUCAUAUGACAUCUUUAAGAUGUUUUAUGGGUUUUGAACAUAUGUGCUAUCUGAAAUGUAAUUAAAUGUAUAAUAAAUUAAUAAUAUUCAAGUUCGUCAGUUUGAUUGAUGAUAGGUUGUAUUAAGGAUGUUUUGGUUCUAUAAUACCAGUUAAAUGUUGUUCAAAUUAAAAAACUAGCCUUUUAAGUUUGAUUUCUUUAUAAUCGACGACAAAAAAUUUUGGUCAUAAAUUUUGGUUUGAAAUCAAUUGUAAAGAAGACAAAUACGAAUUAUAACAACUUGUGCAGCGAAAAUAACUAUAUUUUAAGUAAAUAAAUGUAAAUAAAAUUUUGCACAAAUGUU